UUCAACUUUAGAUGCAGAUGACUCACAGGGCGUCCUCUCGAUGGAUGAAGUCAAGAGGUUUGAUCAUUCCCUGCUGCUUCUCCCUGCAACAAAAGAGGGCACUCCAAAACUGAUGCAUCAGCGCUGCAGCCGCCUAUAAGGAUUUCACACCAGUGACUAGCACUAUCUCACAACGCCACCUGAGGCUGGAGGACCUGGCUCAGCUCCCAAACUGACUUGGAGCCUUUGAAGGCCACAAACGAAGGGUCGCGGGGGCCUAUCCCAGCUGCACACGGGCGGUAGGCGGGGUACACCCUGGACAAGUCGCCACCUCAUCGCAGGGCCAACACAGAUAAACAGACAACAUUCACACUCACAUUCACACACUAGGGACAAUUAAGGGUUGCCAAUCAACCUAUCCCCAGGUGCAUGUCUUUGGAGGUGGGAGGAACCCACGCAGUCACGGGGAGAACAUGCGAACUCCACACAGACAGAUCCCGAGCCCAGGAUCGAACUCUGGACCUUUUUAUUGUGGGGCACACAUACCCUGUACCACCGUUCUUAGCCCUGGCAAAUGUUAACUUCGGCUAGUAACGUUUGUUCUGCUUCCCACAGCAGGCUCUUCCUCACUUUCUUGUCCGUAACUCCAAAAACAAUCCGGUCACGGAUCAUCGAUUCUUGCAGCUCUCCAAAAUUACAGGUUUUAGCUUUCAGUUUUAAAUCAGUCAGAAAAGUGUCCAAUUUUCGGAUGAUAGUUUUCAAAUGCAUUGUUACCUUCGCCGUCAGCAAACACAAAGGUAUUGUUUACCUCCACAGCCUGAGUUCCAGCCACGGUGCUAUUUUCCUUGCCUCGGGUUUGUCAUCCUGUACGGUCGCUUAUAAAUAAAGCAUGAAGCGCCGUUUAAAGGU